GGACCCGCACAAGCGGUGGAUUAUGUGGAUUAAUUCGAUGCAACGCGAAAAACCUUACCUACCCUUGACAUGUCCUGGAGCCUGGUGAAAGCCGGGUGUGCCCGAAAGGGAACGGGAACACAGGUGCUGCAUGGCUGUCGUCAGCUCGUGUCGUGAGAUGUUGGGUUAAGUCCCGCAACGAGCGCAACCCUUGCCAUUAGUUGCCACAUUCAGUUGGGCACUCUAAUGGGACUGCCGGUGACAAACCGGAGGAAGGUGGGGAUGACGUCAAGUCCUCAUGGCCCUUAUGGGUAGGGCUUCACACGUAAUACAAUGGCGCGUACAGAGGGCAGCGAAGGGGCGACCUGGAGCCAAUCCCGACAAAGCGCGUCGUAGUCCGGAUUGCAGUCUGCAACUCGACUGCAUGAAGUCGGAAUCGCUAGUAAUCGCGGAUCAGCAUGUCGCGGUGAAUACGUUCCCGGGUCUU
rnacentral:rRNA from 1 species